CGUUAGCGCUCUUUUCCGUUUCGCCUGUCCUGUGUUCGGCGUCGCGGGACCGUGGCAGUUUUAACUAAACUUAAAAGCAGAGUUUAAUAUACGGCCGCAGUGGUAACUGCUGAAAACACGCGAGAACUGUUGAGCUGCAGUUUUAGUCUUUAGUUAAAACGCGGGGUUUGGUGGCUGCGGUGCAGCGUUAAUAUUAUCACAGAGGCCUGAAGCAGCCACGUGGAGAGGACUGAAAAAUGAACAAGGGAAAAAAAGACAAAAGUGGACUUCAGUCUGGUUGCAUGACUUUAAUAAAUGCUACAAUCAAGACAUCAUGACGUGUCCUUGUGUCCUUGGGAGGAGACAGGUCAGAAUGUUGCCAUUCAAGAGGAUGGAAGAUCAAGACUGAGAACAACUUGGCAGCUUCCGUAAGAGAUGUUGAGGCCAGGAUGAAUGAUGGCACUGUGUAGGUUCCCAACCACACCAGCUGACUGAAGAUGAUUCAUUUCACGCAGGUUGAUCUGGUUUGUUAAAGAAGAUUCCUUUUGAAUGAAAGUGAAUCAUCGGCAUGCAGCUGCAGCUACACCUUUCAGAUGCUCUUCGCGUCAUUCUGCCAGUGUGCUCCUGUCUCCUGAAGUCUGCUGUCGAGUGAAUUUGACAGGAUUGGAUCCAGGUGGCUGAAGCGACUCUGCCUCAGUAUGUCUGCAAGCUUCACAUGAUAAAGAAUGGUGUCUUUUGUGUCUGCUCUGAAGAUGUGGACAUCUGCUGAGACAGCUCCCACACCUUGAAAGAAGGUCGCUGUGAGGCUGGAAAAUCUGUGGUGGGCUGCAGUGGUGAAACAGGCACAUUCAAGAUUUGAGAACAAUCUGUAAAACUUCUCCUUAUCCCAUUGAUUUCAAAGCUUGUGGAUAUUUAAAACAGAACAGCAAGAUUGAAAUGAGUUCUGUAAGUGAAUGCACAGCUUAUGUUUUAAAUCGGAUUAAAAUAGCAUCUUGUUGACCAGCGGCCUUAGUGUUUCUGUUGCCGAGCACAGAUCCUCACCUCAGGUCUUUCUGAUGCUGUCUAAUUGUUGACAUGCAUAUCAAGAUUGUAAUUUUGUCUUUCAAUUUGAGCAUGCAGGCCUGCUGUCAGUUUUUGUAACCAACCUAACACAGUUUCUGAAUCAUUUGUGUUCAGUGUGUGUUUACGUAUGCAGACUUUAAACACUUUACAAGGUGCUGUAAUGCCUUUGUAAGUUACUGCUGUGCAUCAUCUUCUGCCAAAUCUCACAAAGGCUGAUGGAUUCACCUGCACUGAACUACACGGUCUCUGAGAGUGAUCCAUAUUUGGUGUGCAGCUGAUAAAGAAUUAGGGGUCUUACUUAAUCGUAGUUGCUGAUAAUCUGAUUUCAGACGCCUCCGUCCCUGCUCUCCAGCAUGACAUACACCUGGGUGAAAAUUCACUUCCUCUAUGAGGUGAACUAAGCCCUCCAAACCCAGUUAAAUUUAAAGGUCAAGACAAUUAUAAGCUCUGGGAAACUCUGUUCAAGGAGAAGAGAAAUUUUGAGGGAAAAAAAGCUUACCCAGCAGACCUUGACUUUCUGGGAGCACUGGAGGAUUUUAUGUUGGAGAAAGUUUGUCUUCAAGGAAGGAGAUGUUGGUAUACAAGCUGUUCAUUUCCUUGACUCACUGCAAGUUGUUGACUGCAGAUGUGGGCCUCUAUAUUAAAGCCUCAAAGAUAACUAAGAUGUUGGGAUGAUGGGAUGUUUCACUUCAGGGUAAGUAAUGGUGUGUUUUCAGUCAGUAGACUAAUAAAGGCUUAGAAAGAUAAAAUGAUUACAAGUAUCAUAUAAAAUGAUUACAAGUAUCUACUAAUAACAAUUUCCCAUUUUUCUUUUGAAGUUUUAAAGAUUUAGAAAAUGGUUGGAUGAAAGUGUAGGCUGUGUAUGUAAUGAUUUAUACACACUGUGUACUGUAAUUGUUCUAACUUCUUGUGUGGUAGAGUCAAGGGAGAUGAGGGGAGUUAGACUCACCAAACACGGCCCCCAGGAAAAUUUUAUACUAGGAAAUAGGUAACGGCGGCAAUGUUUAGUUGACUCUUGACACACAUGAACAUGUUACUGAGGGACUGAGAUAUGAUUUCAGAAUAAGGUAAGUCUUAUUAAGAACUGAAGAAAGAAACCAAUUAAAAACUAAAGUUAUUCCUUAUUAUUUUCAUUUAUGGUGCAAAGUGUCUCUGACAAGAAUAUAUUUCCAGGAUUUAAUACUAAAACAAAAGGUAAAAAAUGUAAGUGAGCUAAUGCUGGUGACUGAAGAGGUCAGAUUAACCCGCUUGGAGAUAAGCAUGCUCUCAUGCACACCCCGAAAUGGCAAGCAUGCAGAGAGGGCUGGUAAAGAGACAGACAGACAAAAACUUUAAACCUUUCUUGACUGUGCACCGGCUCACUGGUGCGAUGGCCCACAAAAUAUUUGCAUGAUGUUGCUUUAAGUUAGCUCCACAUCUAGGACGUAUAGCUGCUGGAAACUUCUGGCACAUUUUAAUAUUUAACAUUAUGUGUAGUUCUUUUUGCCCUUAAUUACUUUGUAAUUGGACUGAUAUCAAGACUGAGCGCAGAAAAUUUCAGUUUGAAGCCAACAAUCAAAGGAAGAAGAAGAAACCUUUCUAAGUCCAAGCAUGUUUUUACACACACACAGGAAAUUUGACCUCUGCUUUUAAUCCACCCAUGAGGACUGAACACCCACAUAUACUAGGAGCAGUGAGCACACAAACUCCUGGACUCUCUUUGUCUAAUAUUUCUUUACUCAUCAGUACAUUCGAACUAUAUAACCGUAUUCAGUUCAGUAUUUCAUUAUUUUGUUAAAUACUUAGACAUCUUUAAUUACUCCACGUUCUGCUUUUGCAAUAAUUAUGAUAUAACAAUGUGAAUGAAGCUAGAAGACUCACAGUAAAGGGCUUGUUUUGUUACAGCGUGUUUACAUCCUGUUUGGCAAGAAUGUGACCCCAGGCCAACUCCAACAUUUACCCUGACAUGGUCAGACGACAUCUGGAAUUUCAACCUUGUCAGGAAGCAUUGACAACAACAACAACAACAGAAAUCAAGAGUCUUUACUUUUGUAGCUUUUGCUCCUGUAUGUGUAAAAGAGUGUGCAUAUAGGAGUCACUGUUUAAUGAUGCAUGCCUUCUAUCUUUUGACAUUUUGCUUCAGGACACUCAGAAACAAAACAGAGCGAAAACACUCAUUUUAUUCUUUGAAUGAAUGGAAUGGAGGGAUGGAACACAUUGCCCAUAAGAUCAUCCGUUAUUCUAUUUUUCCAAGUCAUGACUUGUCUGUACACAAACAUGAUCAUUUCAGCAUGAUUAUUUCAAACAUCUUGCCAAGAGUGUCAUGCCUGUUUUAAAGAUCGCUGUAGCACCACCCCUUUUAAAAGGCAGCAUGUUGGCAUUUAAAGUUUUUGCUACUGUUUUAUUUCUACGAGUACAGUGUAUUACUACUAUAGCAAAAUUCAAGUUGUGCAAAUGUUGCUCUAAAGGUUCUUCCUGUGCUGACUGCAGUGCGUAACAAUUCCUUCCAUGAUUAUUUGCAUACAGUGCAGACAUGCUCACAGGUGAUAGAUCUUGUCAAAAUACGAUUUUUCCGUAGGGCAACUGUAAACCUGAAAGUUGGUGGAAAAAAAAUGAAAUAACACAUAUGUAUUGUCACAUGUCAGGACUUGCUGACAGAUGACAAUGCAUGGGUGCGUGUUAACAGAACAUAUUCACAUUCUUUCUGCGUCUCUUAAACCCUUCUCUUCAGAGUGAGAGCAUGAGAAAUUGGUUUAUUGCAUUAAUUCUGCAACAGUUCAGUCCAAAAGAGCAUGACAUGAUCCUGAGACAGAUCCAGUGGCAUGCACAAUAAAGAUAAAACUGGUAUAUAUGUAAUGGAAUCCUUUACAGCAGCCCCAGAAGCUUCUAGUGUUCUUUUUGUUUUUUGUUUUUGUGCCAUGGAAGUUUUGCUCCAACUUUCCACAGAACUGCAAAAACAGUUAGUUUUGUUUAUAUUUUUUAAUUACUGAUUUUUGAUUGAGCAGUUUUGGUUGUAUGUGUUGUAGGCUUUAGGUGUUGCCUUUAUUGUGUCAGUUUUUUAUUUAAUCUUGAAACCCACCGGUUCUCCUCAUUAAGAAAGAGAGAUUUUUUAAAAAACUGAAUGAUGAAUUGGGAUGGCUUGU